UCCUGGGGCACCCAACAUUGUGGGCAAGGUGUUUCCCAACCAGCACAAGCUCCUACAGCACCCAAAGGUGUGGGUAAGGAGUGCUCCAACCAGUGCCUUGUCCUGGAGCACCAAAAGAUGUGAGUAAGGAGCUCUCCAAACAUCACAACCACUCCCACAGCAUCCAAAGGUGCAGAGAGAAGCAUAGGGCAGGGCAGGGGACCACAGUUGAGGUCCAAGCAGCAGACAGAAGCAGCCCAGGAGUGGAUCCCCCUCAGCACAGCUCCAGAGGGCUGGGGGCCUGCCCUUAAAUGCUGCCCCUGCAGCAAUAAGCAGAGGCUGGAGGUCCCAGGUGAGCCGGGUUGGGGCCGUUAAGGCUUGUUAGUGCCCUGCAGGGCUCAGCAGCAAUGCCCAGGGUGCUGGGGUUGUCUUCUCCUGCUCCUGAGUCUCAUCUCCUGCCUUCCACCAAAGAGACCAACGUGUCCGUGAGCGUGGAGCUGCGGGUCACCAACCAGGAGUUCUCCGAGGACCUCCGAAACGAAAGCUCCAACACCUACCAGAACUUCGUCCGCAGCUUCACCCAGCAGGUGGGACACUGCUUGUUCCCCCAUGGGGUCUUCUCCGUCCUCGUUAGGGGUGUGCUUGUUUUGGGGGGACCCCAAGGUGGGGAAGGAACGUGUGAGGAAAAGGAGUGGGGCAAAGAUACCCAGCCUGCAGCCUCCUUCUCUUCCAGAUGGACAUCUUCUACCGCAACAUUGAAGGCUACCAGGGCAUCAAGAUCCUGAGUCUGUUGCCGGGCAGCAUCGUGGUGGAUCACGCCGUCAUCGUCGCUCUGCUGGUGACCACCGAUACCACCGAGAAGAUCAAUAACGUCACCAAGAAUGUGAAGGAGGAGAUUGUCCAAGCAGCAGCCCAUCAGGAAAACUGCACUGACAACAGCAGCUUCUGCUUCAACGCCUCCGAAGUGAUGAUCACCCAACCCUCGUUUGACUUCAACGCAACAGGUGAGCCCGCGGGGUGGGUUGUUUGUGGUAAACCAUGGGUUGGGGUCCAGGGGCAUCUCCCCCUGUCCAACCCCUGUUCCCUUUGCAGCAUAUUGCCGCCAGGUCACACCCAAGGGCUUUGAGGACUUCUACUACCCCAACACCACCAAAAGCGGCCUCAGCUGCGUGUCCAACUGCUCAGCCAACACCGCCGGCGCCAUUGACUGCAACGAGGGGCAGUGCCAGCUCACCCUGAGCGGCCCCCAGUGCUUGUAAGGACCAUGGGGACACCCUCAGGGACACCUCCAAGGCCCUGACAGGUGCUCUUGGGCCAGGGGCCGGGCCAGGGGUCUCAGCACCACGCUCAGCCCCACAUCUCCUCCCCACAGCUGCCGUGAGACCAAUCUCUACUGGUACCAGGGCGAUCGGUGCAAGAGCCGGGUCAGCAAGAUGGCCGUGGGCAUGGGCCUGGCCGUGGCGGCCUUAUGCUUGGUCAUCUUCGUCCUCGCCGCCUUCCUCUUCAGGGCCAAGAGGCAGAAGUUGUUGGACAGGUGGGGAAACCCCAGGGGGUGGGGAGGAAGAGGCGGUGGGCACGGGAGGACCUCCACAAGUAGAGGUCCUCCUCAGUCUGUGGAGGUCCUCCAUGGAGUCUCCAGUUGUAGAGUCUCCAUCAA
rnacentral:lncRNA from 1 species